rnacentral:tRNA from 1 species
AAGAAAUUAGUUAAAAUUUCAUAACCUUCGCUUGUCAUGCGAAAAUUAUCUCAAAGAUAUUUCUUA